rnacentral:rRNA from 1 species
UACGUAGGGUGCGAGCGUUGUCCGGAAUUAUUGGGCGUAAAGAGCGCGCAGGCGGUCGUUUAAGUCGAAUGUGAAAGCCCCCCGGCUCAACUGGGGAGGGUCAUUCGAUACUGAUCGACUUGAAGGCAGGAGAGGGAAGUGGAAUUCCCGGUGUAGUGGUGAAAUGCGUAGAUAUCGGGAGGAACACCAGUGGCGAAGGCGACUUCCUGGCCUGUUCUUGACGCUGAGGCGCGAAAGCUAGGGGAGCAAACGGGG